UAGUGUUGACCAGACAUCCUUGGUGAUCCGUCACAUGUCGCCCGAUCCCUACGAUACACAGGCUCCCCAAGCCCUAAGCAACAUAGUUGCUGUAGGGUUUGAAUCUGAGUAUCGAUGGCCGUGGGUUCGGUAGCUGACCGAAUGUCGGGGAUGCAAGAGCUCUUGGGCAGAAAAAGACAUGUGUCGCUUGCUGGCCUAUUGUUCACCUCUGGUAGUUGUAACAUCUACAGAUCUG
rnacentral:lncRNA from 1 species